rnacentral:rRNA from 1 species
UACGUAGGGUGCGAGCGUUAAUCGGAAUUACUGGGCGUAAAGAGUGCGUAGGCGGUCCCGCAAGUCCGCUGUGAAAGCCCCGGGCUUAACCUGGGAAUGACAGUGGAAACUAUGGGACUUGAAUCUGGCAGAGGGGGGUGGAAUGCCACGUGUAGCAGUGAAAUGCGUAGAGAUGUGGCGGAACACCGAUGGCGAAGGCAGCCCCCUGGGCUGAGAUUGACGCUCAGGCACGAAAGCGUGGGGAGCAAACAGG